CCCAAAAAAAAAAAUAAAAAUUUGAAAAAGCUUUUAUAAUGAGCUUUUCUCAGAAGUCUGGAUUUGUGACUGUGAAAAGAGAAGCUAGCUAGAACACCCUCUUUUCUACUUUUUCUUUCCAAAAUUGCAAAAAAAAAAAAAAAAAAAAAAAUUAAAUAAAUUAUUAAUUUAUUAUAUUUUACAUAGUUGUCGGGCUAAUAACACUUUAUAUAUAAUUUGCUCAACUAUUUUAUUCUACACUCUUUAGCCUUGAGAGACUCCUUUCUUUUUCUCUUCUAAACCUUAUUAUUUUUUUCCUCAAGAGAGACACAAAAUAAUACAUAAAACUUGUUCUUCAGAAAAUGUAGUUUGUAAAAGUCACUACUUCUACUUUGGGUUCUUUUUUUGGUUAUCAUCUUCUUUCCUCUGCAAAAUUACAAGGUGGAUGGUUGAGGAGGUGGGAAACAUGGUGGUGGUGGGGGCUAUGGCUUCAUUCCCCAUUUGGAUUUUCAAUGAAGAAAAAAGCUAUGAAUUUUCUUCUUUCUUGAAGAAAAAAGUUGUAUUAAUAAUGGGGUCUAUUCUAAAUGAGGAGGAAUAUUAUUGGUCUAAAUGUAUUAGUAGAAGAAGCAAGUCAACCAUUUUCAAGCUCCAAUUCUUGAAUCAAGUUCUUCUCUUACUCAAUUUCUUCUUCUUCUAUGGAUUUUGAUGAUGAUGGUGAUUUUCUAUGGGGGUGAUAUUGGCGGGAAGGCUCAAUCUUCUUCUUCUUCUUUAAUUUUUUUUUUUUGGGUAUUUUUAUGAUAAUGUUUAUUUAUCUUCUUUUUGUUAUAUUUACUCAAAGAAAUUAAUAACUCAUCAUCAUAAUCAUCAUUAUCUUUUACCAUUUUUAUUUUAUUAUUUAUUUGUUUUAUAUAGAAUUGGGUUAUGAAGAGUUCUUUUCAACCUUAAAGGGAUGGUCCUUGUUAAUUUCUAUCUAAUGAUACAUUAUUAUCAUUU